ensembl:snRNA U6 U6 spliceosomal RNA
GUGCUUGCUUCGGUAGCACAUAUACUAAAAUUGGAAGAAUACAGAGAAGAUUAGCAUGGCCCUGCACAAGGAUGACACGCAAAUUCGUGUAGCAGUCCUUAUUUUU